rnacentral:rRNA from 1 species
CUUUCUCCCCCUCCUCUCUUCGGCUGGGCCUUCUCUCCUCGUCUCCUCUCUCUCUCUCUCUCUCUCUCUCUCUCUCUCUCUCUCAUGGCGGCGGCCACCUCCUCGUCGGCGGUGGCGGUAUCUACGCCGCAGGGAGUGGCGGAGCGGCGGGGAAUCCCGGCGGCUUCCUUCGUCGAGGAUGUCGAGACCUACCUCCGGCAGGCCGGGCUCGAGGUCAACUCCGCCCUCGCCUUCCUCCAAGAAAGGCUGCAGCAGUACAAAAUGGUGGAGAUGAAACUUUUAGCACAACAAAGAGAACUUCAGGCGAAAAUUCCUGAUAUAGAGAAGUGCUUGGAUAUUGUUGCGACAUUGAAAGCUAAAAAAGCUUUGGGUGAGGCACUCAUAGCUGAUUUUGAAUUAUCCGAGGGAAUCUAUUCGCGUGCUAAAAUUGAGGACUCUGACUCAGUGUGCCUAUGGUUGGGUGCAAAUGUGAUGCUGGAAUACUCCUGUGACGAGGCCAAUGAGCUCUUGAAAAGUAACUUGGAAAAUGCGAGGGCCAGUUUGGAAGUCCUUGUUGGCGAUCUUCAUUUCUUACGGGACCAGCAAACGAUAACUCAGGUUACAAUUGCUCGGAUAUUUAACUGGGACGUGCACCAGCGGAGAAGCAAGCAGUCUGUUAUGAAAGAAACGUGAUCAUCAUAGGGUAUUCGUAGCCAAUGAAAUCAGGUUAUUUUUGUACUUCUUGCUGCCUCUGGUGAUUUAGUCUAUCGUCAUAGUGUGUGUGCUCUUUGCUGGUGAUGGUGCCUUGGCCGCGUGACAGAAAUGUAUCAAUCACAUUCAGUUUUAUGGUGUUGGAACUCUAGACCGUGUGGUGUAGAUGACAUUCGCUUCUGUUUUGGGCUGCAUGUACUUGUUUAGCGCUUGAUGAAACAAAAUUUGCAAAGCUUUUUUUUUAUUACCUUCUUUUCUGGCAUGUUCACUGGUUUUAAAUCCUCUAAAAGAUGAGCUGCUCCAGUGUCAGUUUACAGAGUAUCCUGUUGCAAUGUUUACCAGUUACUGGAUUUCUGCAGGCUGGUUACGGCUAGGUGUUAAUCGAUAGGGUCUCAGGUGGUCAUGCCUAUACGCAGUAUGGUACCAAAUGUUCCUGUCAGAUGUUACUAUUACUCUGUUUUUUCUUAAGAAAUGUUAAAAGAAUCUGACAUCAGUUUUUUAACCAUGGCAAAUCGAAUGUUUU